CCCGCCUCUGGAGCCCACCCUUUUUGGCGCUCGGCCCUCGGAGCGUUGAGGAGGAGGGGGGCGCGAGGAGGCCUGAGAGGGAAGGGCUUUUGGCCGCCGGGCUUGAAGCCCAGACCAACGAGAGGCGCCCUCCCCGCCGCCCAGGACCCUUGCCUGGCUUCCGACGCUCCAGCCACAGCCAGCCACCCCUUCCCGCCCUUUUGAGUCUUAGUCAAGCAGUUCCCAGGCUCGUCCCCUGGACGGAGAAGGAGGAGACAUUGGCUCUGAGAGAAGAGUGCUGUGGAUUCUGCGGAUAAGACAAAUGAAUUCUCCCUAAAAAGCUAAGUUGACUCAAUUGAGAGCAUCAUUCUGUUGUACUCCAGGGCAGGAACCACCUCUGUACCUAACCACCACACUCCAAUCCAAGUUAAAAUAGCAAAGCCGUUUAUUGGAGAUUAUAUAAAAAAGCAGUUCAGCAAGUACAGUAGCGUCUCACUUACCCAACAUAAACGGGCCGGCAGAACGUUGGAUAAGCGAAUAUGUUGGAUAAUAAGGAGGGAUUAAGGAAAAGCCUAUUAAACAUCAAAUUAGGUUAUGAUUUUACAAAUUAAGCACCAAAACAUCAUGUUAUACAGCAAAAUUGACAGAAAAAGUAGUUCAGUACACAGUAAUGCUAUGCAGUAAUUACUGUAUUUACAAAUUUAGCACCAAAAUAUCACGAUGUAUUGAAAACAUUGACCACAAAAAUAUGUUGGAUAAUCCAGAACAUUGGCUAAGCAAAUGUUGGAUAAGUGAGACUCUAAUAGUAAAAAUGUCAAAGUUCAAAUGUAUAAAAAAAAGUCAAGGUACAAGAGUUGUUUCAAAAUCUAAGACAAUAAAACAUCCAGCAUAGAACACAGAAAGGCAGCAUGAAAAAUCCAACACAGAAAUUCAAGAAUAAUCACUUAAACUUGAAAGCAUGGAACUUGAAAGCAUGAAACAUGAAACUAGAAAUCCCUUAGCAGACUAGCUAAGACUUGACCGUGACAGUUGCUUCUCAAACCCCAACGUUGGCCAGACUGGUAAAAAAGCCCUUGGGUCUUUCUAAUAUAGACAGAAAAUUGUGCCAUCUCAUGAGAAACUGAUAAGGACCUUUUGCCUAACAAGUGUUUUGACCUUCACAAACUCUGCUGGGCAGCUCUGUGUUCACGAAACGUACAUCUCCUAUCUAUCCGCUCAUUAGGCUAUCCACCUGGAAUUUCCUCCUCUGAACUCAUUUCAUCCUCUGACCUUGCUUCCCUAGCUAACAACUUGUCUACAAUGUCUGCCCCCCUUUCAGGAAUGUGGCAUUCAGUAGCUACUGGAGAUAGAGACGGCUUAAUUUCAGACUAAGAGUCUCCUGCUGACUCACAGGCCCAGAAUCCCCAUGAUCUACUUCUUCAGUGCCAUCAGGUGCAGGCACAAUCAAAGGCUGAACUACAACACAUUCUUUGGCCAUGUCAUGUAAAGAGAUGAAUCACUAGAAAAGAUGACGAUGUUGGUUAAAAUGGAGGGCAAGAGGAAAGAAGGAAGAUGCUGUUUCAGAUGGAUAGACUCAAUGAAGAAAGUAACUGUCCUGAGUUGGCAAGGUGGUUGAGGAUUGGCUGGAUGGGAGGUUUUUUAUUGGCUGGGGUCACCAUAAGUUGAAAUUGACUUAUUAACGAGGUUAAUAAGAACAACAUAGGUGACCCUUUCCAUCAGCUGCUACCUGACAGAACAAGAAUUUGGCAUAGGACCUUCUAUAAGCAAAGAAGCCAGUUUCGGGGCAGAGUUGCAGAUACUCGAUUCUCACCCUCUGUCCACUAGAAUGGCUUAGUAGUGUCCUGAACUUCGCCUGCGAGAAACUAUUGGGCCAGGCCCUCGGCCUUUUGGCCAAGGACACACACUUGUACAGGAGAAGGGGAAAGGGUCUUCACUUGCUCCUUCAUUUGCCUUCCAGUUGCUGCAGGAGGGUGAGAAGGGCCGUAACAGAAAAUUAUGGGGAGAAAUAACAUCUUUGGAAAGCUUUACACUACAACAGAUACUUCAGAUAUUAAUUUGUUCUCUUGCAACAGCUACUUAAAUAUGGUGAGUGACUUAGUGGGGGGGAUGUGUGUUCACUGCAGGUUUAAGGAAGACUAGUGGCAUUAAAAAUAAUGUUUUACAGCCAUGUCUACCAAAAUAACUUGAACUUCGGAAUUGUUUACUUAAGGGAAGAUAGCAUUUGCCAUACCAUAUCAACGCAUUCGUCCAUCAAGUCUAAUAUCCUGCCUCCAGCAGUGCCCAGUACUGAAUGUUUUAGUCAGAGUUGUAUCAGAUGAACUGAAGUAUACAAUAAAGCUCAACAUGGCAGUGAUAUCAUUUAACUGUUAUGGACUGGGAUGGUUGACAUAUAAUGACACCUCAGAAAAACCAUAUGAAAAAUAUCUUGGCAAAUCUACAAAAGCUACUGAGUUCUAACAAGAAAUGAUGAUUGGGUAGAACUCUGUGUGAUGUACUGGCUGAUCUUUUUGCAAGCACUAGCUAGUAUACGAUUAUUAUUGUGAAGCCAUGAAAAAUAUACGAGGUUAGGUCAGUGUGUAAAUAGGCCCUGUUUCUUCCAUUCAGUUGUAGUGUAUUGGAUCACAGAUGAAUACAGGCAUGAUGAAGACGUUUUGGCAUAUAUGAAUGAGUCUUGAGGGAUCUGACAAAUACAUCAACCUUAGUAUUUUUAUCCAUGACAGAAAAUGGUACAAUAUUUCCAGGAUCAAUUAUCUGAGAAAGAUUCCUUGUUAUUCUCUCUGCAAAUAAUGUAAUUAGAACUAUACAGCCACUAGGUUUUUCAACAUGGAAAUAAUAGUGACACAAAAUCAACCAAUAUCUGACAUCAGCUGCCCCUCCACACUGAAGGUUUCAUUUUUGUGGAUGUGAUUAUUCAUGGAUUUGAUUAAUAUGUUCUCUUGGAAAAUAUCCCAGUACACUUCUGUAGUGAUUUGUAGGUCUUCCAGUGUAAUUCUAUGGCUAACUUCUGGCAGAAGUUGGCCAUAGAGUUGUGCUGAAUGAUCUAGAGAUUUUUUAGAAGACUUAUCUCCCAAGUUUAAAAAAACAACAGUUCUUUAAAAAUUGUAGGUUUUUUCCCCAUUUUUGCAGAGGUUGUGCACCUCUAGCCCCAGUGAAUGUGGAGGGCUGACUGUACAACAUGUUGAGUUACAACUCCUGCUAUUCCACGCCAAUGGCUAGGAGACUAAGGUCGAUGGGAUUUGCUAUCCAACAACUGGAAGGGGGAAGCUGUCCACUCCUACUGUGUUCAGGGAUCCUCUGGUCCUCCAGAUUUUUUGGACUUCCAUGUCUAUCAGCACCAGUCAACAAGGGCAAUAAUAAGCAAACGUGAAUGCUAUAAUAAAAAAACACAGAGAUCCAAAGGUUCUUUGAGCCUAUUUGGAUAGUAUUGCAUUCGAUAAAUAAUAGCUUGUUUUCAAGUUAGGGACCUUCCUGUUAUGUAUCUAGUUGUGUGGGUUCUUGAUGUCCUAAAGGAAAGGGAAGUGGCAAAAGAAGUAAAGGCUAAUUGGUUGCACCACAAGUAGUUAACCACAAAUGAUUUUAGUUUAAAUUGUCUUCCAUUAUUCUAGACAAUAUGAGCCAUAAAGAAGCUUUCCCAAGGAAAAGCAAAUCAAUCAUCAGGGAAGGCAGAAAAUAAUGAUGUGCUGCUAUGUUUAUUGAAUCACAAGUCACCAUAAAAGCUAACAAACAUAUGCCAUAAAAGGAAAAGGAAAAGGAAAACAAAAAUCUUGUCACUUAAUUGCCAUUAGCUUAGAUAAUAUAACAAUCUUGUGCGAUCAUUUACAACACGUGUGCCUUGAAUAGGAAGCCAAAGAGGAAAAAAUACUUACGAACUUUACAGGCUACUUGUUUGGAGGUUAUAGCAGGGGAACAUAGCUGUUAUAUAACCUUGAUGAAUGAAUGCUACAUUUUUCUAUCUGGGAUGGUUAUCUUUUUCCACAAAGUACUGGCUGAACAGGGUAUAGGGUUACAGCCUGUGUUGGAUGGGGUUACAGUCCUCCUGAAGACACAGGUUCGCAGCUUGCGAGUUCAUUGCUGAACCUGAAACCCCAAGUUUCGGCGGUGGCCAGGGGAGCUUUCGCACAAUUAAAACUUGUGUUCCAGUUGCGUCCAUAUCUUGGGAAGUCAGACUUGUCCACAGUGGUCCACACUCUUGUUACAUCUCAAAUAGACUAUUGCAAAACGCUGUGCGUGGGGCUGCCUCUGAAGACUGUCCGGAAGCUUCUAGUAGUCCAACGGUCAGCAAUCAGAUUUCUAACUGGAGUGGUGUACAGGGAGUGUACAAACCCCUGUUAGUCAGCUCCACUGGCUGCCAGUUUGCUACCAAUGGCAAUAUUCAAACAGCUAAAGGAAAAAAUGGGAUUGAUGCAGUGUUUCAAUGUUUUAAUGUUUCAUGGUUAUGUCUGAUGGUUUGUAUAGUUUUAAUUGAUUUUAAUUUUAUAGUUAUAUGUUAUUGUUUUUUAGAUAUGUAAUAUAUAUAUAUAUAUAUAUAUAUAUAUAUAUAUAUAUAUAUAUAUGGACGUGAUGUAUUGAAUUUUUGCCAUUCAUUAUGUUGUACACUGCUUUGAGUCCCCCUCGGCAUGAGAAAUGUGGUAUAUUAAUGAAAAAAGCUAAAUAAAUUUAUGGGCCAAUUAGAGUUUUCAGAUCUGCAGGGGAGGCCCUGCUCUUGGUUCCACCCUCCCUCGCAAGUGCGACUGGUGGGGACAAGAGACAGGGCCUUCUCAGUAGUGGUCCCUCAGCUGUGAAACUCCCUCCCCAGUGACAUCAGACUGGCUCCAUCCCUCCUGGUGUUCAGGAAAAUGUUAAAGACAUGACUGCACACAAGCAUUUGGAGAGUAGUGUAACAUGGAAUCUGACUUGAAUUUAGCAAUUUGGAUAAGGACUACGGAAAGUCAAGGAGUAUGGAAUUUAAGACUCAGCACUUUGUACAUUGUAAUCUGUUUUUAAUGUGUUUUAAUAUGUUUUAAAUCUUUUUAUUGUAUUUAUAUGUCUUAACUGUUGAAAAUUGAGUUGCUAUAUUUUUAUUGUUUGUGUUAGGGCAGUGUAUAAAAUAAAUAAAUAAAUAAAUAAAAUAAU